rnacentral:lncRNA from 1 species
CUCUCUCACUCUGCCUUACAUAUCUGUCUUCUUUCCUUUCUUUUCUACCUUCAAUACAUACACACACUAUCUCACAUUCACACCUACUCGCAAGCCAGCUUCGAGUCAGUUUACGGAAUCUUAGCUUUUACACCGACACCAAUAUUUCUUUGAUCUUGGAUUUUUCGUCUGGAAGGAAUCCACAAGUCUUUGUUCAUGGAGUCAAGGAAGGCUUAAAGUGGAGAAUUUAAGUUGCGUAUGGAUGACACCCGAGUGUGGAAGGCUAAGGAAAGAGAGAAAGAACAUAAAUUUCCAGUUUGAUACUUCUCACGUGUGUGUGUUACCUGUAAGGUGUGUUACCUGUAAGGAGAUUCCCAAGAAAUUAUUGUACACACAGAAUGAAAUUAAUUUAAAGAAAGCAAUAAAAUAAAACACUGAAAUUAGCU